rnacentral:rRNA from 1 species
CCUACGGGAGGCAGCAGUGAGGAAUAUUGGUCAAUGGGCGAGAGCCUGAACCAGCCAAGUCGCGUGAGGGAAGACGGUCCUACGGGUUGUAAACCUCUUUUGUCGGGGAGCAAAGCGCGCGACGUGUGGUGCGCCGCGAGUACCUGAAGAAAAAGCAUCGGCUAACUCCGUGCCAGCAGCCGCGGUAAUACGGAGGAUGCGAGCGUUAUUCGGAUUUAUUGGGUUUAAAGGGUGCGCAGGCGGAUGCGUCAAGUCAGCGGUAAAAUUGCGGGGCUCAACCCCGCCGAGCCGUUGAAACUGGCCGACUAGAGUGGGCGAGAAGUACGCGGAAUGCGCGGUGUAGCGGUGAAAUGCAUAGAUAUCACGCAGAACUCCGAUUGCGAAGGCAGCAUACCGGCGCCAAACUGACGCUGAGGCACGAAAGCGUGGGGAUCGAACAGGAUUAGAUACCCGGGUAGUC